rnacentral:lncRNA from 1 species
UCUUAACAACCCACCAGAAGAAGCACCAAGAAAACCUAGCAUAUUUCCUAAGACAGUGAAAACUGAGCCCCUUCUGGCCUAAAAAUAAAUAUUAAAUAAAGAAAAAAGAAAAAAAAAUAGGGCAAAUGAAAAAGGAAGACAAUGUCCAGAUCAAAGAGUUAAAUAUGGACACAAGAAAUGCAAGCAGCUGUAAAGUGAAAGAUCAAGAACCACUCUGAGGGCUCAGAAGUAGAAACUAGUGAACUCCAAAAGCAACCCUCAAAGAAAAACAAAAAAGCAAGAAAGAUUUUAAGUAUCCAACUUACCUGAGUCAAAAAAGGGAAGAAGAAAAGAAGUAGCUCUGAAGAUGUAGAAUGCCUCGCUCCCAGAGCAAAAGUAAAGAAAAUCACUCAGAAAGACAACAUUAAAAAAAGAAGCCUCAGAAGUUUCCAAAGAAAACACAACUUAGAAGUCCUUGAAGAACAAAAGGAUGCUGGAAAUAUAAAAGAUGGUUCUCCCUUAAAACUAAAAAGGAUUCAUAAGACAAAAGAUAAAGAGAGACAUAAAAUUGGAGAAGAGGUUAUAUUGAGAGUACUAUCAAAGAGAAGCCAUGCCACAAAUAGUUUUAAGCAAGAAAAUAAAGUCUGCCAACAACCACGAGCAUGAGCUUGGAAGCAGAUCCUCCAUCCUGGUCAAGUCUUCAGAGACUACACAUCCGGGCCAAUUGUGUGACUGCAGCCUCACAAGAAACCCUGAUCCAGAGCCACUCAGCUAAGCUGCUCCCAAAUUCCUGACUCUCAGAAACUGAGAUAAUAAAUGCUUGUUGUCUUCAA